UGGGGGAACAAUGAGAGCAGCAAGAAGGGGCUAGUGGCCUCUUCUAGUUCCUUCCAACCUGGCAGCAGGCAAGCUCCUAUUCUGACACCUGAGCCCUUGUGGUGGGGCCCGUUCUGAGUCAACCAGAGCACAGGCCGGGGAUAGAGGCAAGGAGGCAGCAAUUCAACAGUGAAUUUGGGACCUUUGGAGCAAUCAAGGGGAAGGUGGUGGUGCUGCUGAUGGCGGUGGAGAGCUCUGGACUAAACCUGUCAUGAUGAUCCUGGAUUGUUUUUAUUCCAACCUCCCAGCUGACCUUGGGGACUGGAUAGGUAAGUACUAAGACAACAAUUCUCAGACCUCACCCACUGUGUCUUAUCAAGUGCAUCAUAUUUUCUAGCUGGGUCAGCACAUGACUAUUGUUUCUAACGCAAAGAAAACAUAACACAGGGCAUCCAUUUUGCUGGAGGGAAUUGACUAGGCCAGGCUCAGACACUAUUGCAUAGUGGGUAUCUUCAAUACAAAGGAAGCUGCCCCAGUUAAGGAGGCAGAACUAGGAAAAGACCGACUGAGAAGAGGCUGGGCUCUGUGUUCUCACAUGCAUAGGUCUCCGGGCUAGGAGGGGCUUUGGGUCACACAUCCACCCACCAGAUGGUCACCUGGUCAUGGCUAGAGGCCUCCCUCUUCCAAUUCAUUUCUGUCUCUCACCCAAGUUUCCUCUUCCUGUUUUAAUGUGCUAGCCCAACAAUCCCCACUGAAGCCAAGAAACAGAAACUGAAAAUCUUUUCCAUCCCAAGUUGACAAGUCCUCACUGUCCCUUUUGCUCUGACUUCCAUUUCAGUUUUACAGCUUCCAAUUUGGCUCCUUCCCUCCCCAGGAAGAGAGAGAGCAGCCAGCCAGUCACUGCUUCAUACAUUGACCUUGGGAGAGAAGGCCCUGGGAAUGGUUUCACGACAUCUUUGCAUCUCUCGGAAAUUGGGUAGUCCUCCAUUUCUAUGGCCAUGCUUUUUGGCCAAGAACUGUGGAGGAUGGCAAGUUAGAACCUUCUAGAAAGGGGAUCUGUGGGCAAGACUAGGGGAUUUCCUGCCUGAGAGAAGCUCUCUGAGACUGGUAUUAAGCCAGGGCAAUGCACAGGUGAGGAGGCUUCCUCUUGGCAGAGGAGGCAGCUUUGGUUACUUUGAGAAGCCUCAGAUCUAGGUGGGCAGAGCCUUGCCAGUGCCAGACACACAGACACCUGGAUUGGUGGGGAGGGUCAUGCCUCCAGGUGGCCCCUAAAGUGCACUGGCACAUGGACAGCCCCUGACCCUUCUAAAGCCUCCUGUCCGAAACGGUGAUUGUUUUUCCAGAACUUCUCGCUUACUUUUAGGGAACAAAAGGUAAAAUUGACUUAGCAACACCUCACUUUUGAGCAGAGAAAUGAAAUAUAACUGAGUGGUUUCGUGCAUGCAUGCCCUUCCUUUCCUCCGAGGGCCUGGCAUGGUGCUGGAUACAGGGAAUCUGGCAGUUUAUAGAAUCAGGGAAAUCAAGGGGCACUUGAGCCCUUCUCACCAACCUGCUUUUCCUUAAACAUCUAACCCCUGCUUUGGGGUCCUCGAGGUUUUCACAGGAAACGAAGAAAGAGAAUACACACCAAAGAAAGAUCCUGGACACUGGGUGUGUUCAAAGAGUGAGAUUG
rnacentral:lncRNA from 1 species